rnacentral:rRNA from 1 species
AUACGGAAGGUCCGGGCGUUAUCCGGAUUUAUUGGGUUUAAAGGGAGCGCAGGCGGAGAUGCAAGCGUGACGUCAAAUUUCGGGGCUCAACCCCGUCUCGCGUCGCGAACUGCGUCCCUUGGUUGCGGGAAGGGGAGGCGGAACUCGUGGUGUAGCGGUGAAAUGCAUAGAUAUCACGAAGAACUCCGAUCGCGAAGGCAGCCUUCCGGCCCGUCAACGACGCUCAUGCUCGAAGGUGCGGGUAUCGAACAGGAUUAGAUACCCUGGUAGUCCGCACAGUAAACGAUGGACACCCGCGGUUUGGCCUGUAUGGCUGAGCCGCCAAGCGAAAGCGUUAAGUGUCCCACCUGGGGAGUACGCCGGCAACGGUGAAACUCAAAUGAAUUGGCGGG